rnacentral:ncRNA from 1 species
GGAGAAAUGAUUUUCUCCCUUUUAAUUUUGUUAAAUAAAAUUUUAUUUAGUUCUAAAAAGGAUGUGUAUUAUUAAGGCACUUUUGUCAAUUUAAAUACAAGACUCCUACGGGAGGCAGCAUUGGAGAAUUUUUCGCAAUGGGCGACAAUUUGAUGGAGCAAUGUUGUGUGGAGGUGGAAGACCAUCGGGUCGUGAACUUUGUUUUUCCAAAGAAUAAGCAAUGAUGAUAUCUGGGAAAUAAAUACCGACUAACUCUGUGCUAUCAGCCGCGGUAAAUACCUUUUUAUGGAGGAGACC